CUCAUCUGGAGAAACAGGACAGAUGGUCUGGUUCAAUUCAGGAUUGUGGUUUCGUGCCCUGCAUGAUUCACCAGUGAAGCAGAUGCAGAUAAAUAAGGAUACUGGGUGUGUUCUGGAUACUACACAGCAGCACCAUUGAUAUGAAUAAGAUGUUGGAAACAAUGAUGGUAAG
rnacentral:lncRNA from 1 species